rnacentral:rRNA from 1 species
UCGCCUGUUUAUUCAAAAACAUCGCCUCUUGCAAAACUAAUGAAUAAGAGGUCCCGCCUGCCCUGUGACUAUAGGUUUAACGGCCGCGGUAUUUUGACCGUGCAAAGGUAGCGCAAUCACUUGUCUUUUAAAUGAAGACCUGUAUGAAUGGCAUAACGAGGGCCCGACUGUCUCCUUUUUCAGGUCAAUGAAAUUGAUCUUCCCGUGCAGAAGCGGAAAUAAUACCAUAAGACGAGAAGACCCUAUGGAGCUUUAGACAAAAACAGAGCAUGUUAAGCACCCCCUGAUAAGGGGCCAAACCAAAUGCCCGCUGCCUAAUGUCUUUGGUUGGGGUGACCGCGGCGAAAUAUAUAACCCCCGUGUAGAAAGAGGGCUCACUCCCUUCAAAUUAAGAGCUACCGCUCGAACAAUCAGGAUACCUGACUAAAUAAGAUCCGGCAACGCCGAUCAACGGACCGAGUUACCCUAGGGAUAACAGCGCAAUCCCCUUCUAGAGCCCAUAUCGACAAGGGGGUUUACGACCUCGAUGUUGGAUCAGGACAUCCUAAUGGUGCAGCCGCUAUUAAGGGUUCGUUUGUUCAACGAUUAAUAGUCCUACGUGAUC